GAUGUUCAUUGUGGUAGCCAUCUUCGCUCUGUGCUGGCUGCCGUACCAGACAUACAACAUCCUCAACGAGAUUUACCCGGAAAUUAACUCAUAUCGUUACAUCAAUGUCAUCUGGUUCUGCUGCCACUGGCUGGCCAUGAGCAACUCCUGCUACAAUCCAUUCAUCUACGCCAUCUACAGCGAGAAAUUCAACGCAGAGUUCCAGGCUCGCAUCCGGUGCUGCGCUCGACGGCCUCACGAGGAGAUUGUCUACGGACAUUCAUCCAUUAUGACUCAGUUGUCAGUGCGACUGCAGUCCUGAAACGUGCGAAAAAACACCGCGGUCGUUCUUGGGGGCCUAUGAUCUAGCUGCACCGCCGAUGAAAACGAGCUUCGAUGUCGCGUAUGCGCAGAGCAAUCGCAGUUGAUGACAAAGUCACAUGCCGCAGGAAUGCGGGACGUUGGUCAGGUUGGGUUCUGUCUUUUUAAAAAUUCCUGACGCAGCAGAACUGUAACCUAAGAUGUAAUUUUGAUGACGAACGACCAAAACUUGCCCUGUAUUAUCUGUAGAAGCAAAGCACUGUAAACGCUCACAGAAGAUGCUAUGAGUGCAUGAGCAAGUUGACCUGUUUACAUCAUCGUCUGAUACUUUUUUCUUUUUCUCGGCACUCUUGCCUAUUUGGGUCCCAUAGCAUAACUAUACUAUUCCAAAAAAUAAACGUUUUAUGCAGUAGUCUAAGAAGGAUGCUGUGCCAUUCCUACCAACAGGCCACGCUGCGUUGCCUGGAAUCAGUAAUGCAAAGCCUCGACGAAUUGUUAGCUUGACACAGUAAUUUGAAAACUCAUAUA